GAUGAACGCCCGCGGCGUGCUUAACACAUGCAAGUCGAACGAACCUUCGGGUUAGUGGCGGACGGGUGAGUAACGCGUGAGAAUCUGCCCUCAGGAGGGGGAUAACGGUUGGAAACGACCGCUAAUACCCCAUAUGCCUACUGGUGAAAUGAAUUUCGCCUGAGGAUGAGCUCGCGUCUGAUUAGCUAGUUGGUGAGGUAAUGGCUCACCAAGGCUUCGAUCAGUAGCUGGUCUGAGAGGAUGAUCAGCCACACUGGGACUGAGACACGGCCCAGACUCCUACGGGAGGCAGCAGUGGGGAAUUUUCCGCAAUGGGCGAAAGCCUGACGGAGCAACGUCGCGUGAGGGACGAAGGCCUCUGGGCUGUAAACCUCUUUUCUCAAGGAAGAAGAUAUGACGGUACUUGAGGAAUAAGCCACGGCUAAUUCCGUGCCAGCAGCCGCGGUAAUACGGGAGUGGCAAGCGUUAUCCGGAAUUAUUGGGCGUAAAGCGUCCGCAGGCGGCUUUUCAAGUCUGCUGUUAAAGCGUGGAGCUUAACUCCAUCAUGGCAGUGGAAACUGAAAGGCUUGAGUAUGGUAGGGGCAGAGGGAAUUCCCGGUGUAGCGGUGAAAUGCGUAGAUAUCGGGAAGAACACCAGUGGCGAAGGCGCUCUGCUGGGCCAUUACUGACGCUCAUGGACGAAAGCCAGGGGAGCGAAAGGGAUUAGAUACCCCUGUAGUCCUGGCCGUAAACGAUGAACACUAGGUGUCGGGGGAAUCGACCCCUUCGGUGUCGUAGCUAACGCGUUAAGUGUUCCGCCUGGGGAGUACGCACGCAAGUGUGAAACUCAAAGGAAUUGACGGGGGCCCGCACAAGCGGUGGAGUAUGUGGUUUAAUUCGAUGCAACGCGAAGAACCUUACCAGGGUUUGACAUCCUGCGAACCUCUUAGAAAUUUGAGGGUGCCUUCGGGAAUGCAGUGACAGGUGGUGCAUGGCUGUCGUCAGCUCGUGUCGUGAGAUGUUGGGUUAAGUCCCGCAACGAGCGCAACCCACGUUUUUAGUUGCCAGCAUUUAGUUGGGCACUCUAGAAAGACCGCCGGUGAUAAACCGGAGGAAGGUGUGGAUGACGUCAAGUCAUCAUGCCCCUUACACCCUGGGCUACACACGUACUACAAUGCUACGGACAAAGGGCAGCAAACUCGCGAGAGCUAGCAAAUCCCAUAAACCGUGGCUCAGUUCAGAUCGUAGGCUGCAACUCGCCUACGUGAAGUAGGAAUCGCUAGUAAUCGCAGGUCAGCAUACUGCGGUGAAUACGUUCCCGGGCCUUGUACACACCGCCCGUCACACCAUGGAAGUUGGCCAUGCCCGAAGUCGUUACUCCAACCCUUGUGGAGGAGGACGCCGAAGGUGGGGCUAAUGACUGGGGUG
rnacentral:rRNA from 1 species